AUUGAACGCUGGCGGCAUGCCUUACACAUGCAAGUCGAGCGGUAACAGGUCUUCGGAUGCUGACGAGUGGCGAACGGGUGAGUAAUACAUCGGAACGUGCCCGAGAGUGGGGGAUAACGAGGCGAAAGCUUUGCUAAUACCGCAUACGAUCUCAGGAUGAAAGCAGGGGACCGCAAGGCCUUGCGCUCACGGAGCGGCCGAUGGCAGAUUAGGUAGUUGGUGGGAUAAAAGCUUACCAAGCCGACGAUCUGUAGCUGGUCUGAGAGGACGACCAGCCACACGGGGACUGAGACACGGCCCAGACUCCUACGGGAGGCAGCAGUGGGGAAUUUUGGACAAUGGGCGCAAGCCUGAUCCAGCCAUGCCGCGUGCAGGAUGAAGGCCUUCGGGUUGUAAACUGCUUUUGUACGGAACGAAAAGACUCUGGUUAAUACCUGGGGUCCAUGACGGUACCGUAAGAAUAAGCACCGGCUAACUACGUGCCAGCCGCCGCCGUAAUAC
rnacentral:rRNA from 1 species